rnacentral:rRNA from 1 species
CCUACGGGUGGCUGCAGCCGAGAAUCAUUCACAAUGGGGGAAACCCUGAUGGUGCGACGCCGCGUGGGGGAAUGAAGGUCUUCGGAUUGUAAACCCCUGUCAUGGGGGAGCAAAUUAAAAAGAUAGUACCACAAGAGGAAGAGACGGCUAACUCUGUGCCAGCAGCCGCGGUAAUACAGAGGUCUCAAGCGUUGUUCGGAAUCACUGGGCGUAAGGCGUGCGUAGGCUGUUUCGUAAGUCGUGUGUGAAAGGCGCGGGCUCAACCCGCGGACGGCACAUGAUACUGCGAGACUAGAGUAAUGGAGGGGGAACCGGAAUUCUCGGUGUAGCAGUGAAAUGCGUAGAUAUCGAGAGGAACACUCGUGGCGAAGGCGGGUUCCUGGACAUUAACUGACGCUGAGGCACGAAGGCCAGGGGAGCGAAAGGGAUUAGAUACCCCUGUAGUC